CUGUUUCGUACGCCGAGCUCUGCUGGCGAAACCAGGGUGUGAAGCAUGACAGCAGAGGCGGGGGAACCAUUUCCGGCGGUCUGGGAUCAGAUCGUCUUGGGGUGAAGCCCGCGGCGGUGCUCGGAACUUUUCAGAGGCGGCGCAAGCCGUUCCCCCUGGGUUCCCGUGUGCCUCCGCAGGCCGGGCAGCUGACUCUCAGGCCCGAAUCCGACAGCUAACUUCGAAGGCGCUAUGAGAGGGAAU
rnacentral:sRNA from 1 species